UUUUGUGGUAUUUCUGGAUCCUUACCAAGGCAGUAAUGGUGUAUGCCAUCUCUCAAAGUAUGUGGUAUUUUUGGUAUGAGGCAUAGUGACAUUGCCUUCUCUCACACCCUACUCUAUAAGGUUUUUGAUAUCUGGAGCUCAUAGGUGGGAGACAGCUAAUACAUACUUACAAGACAUUUAUUGCAUAGUCAAACCAUGGAUCUAGAGAAACAAGUCAAUAAGUCAAAUCAAGAUGUGCAUGUGUGGCGAAUGAAUGGUGCAUGGUAAUGAUGGUGAUAACAAUGGUGAAAGUCUAAUUCUACUUGUGCUCUUUUGAUGGGAUACAUACCUUUCUUGCUCUUUUGAAACUUUUUGAGGAGAAUGAGAUGCUCUAUAUUUUAUUUUUCUUUUCUCUCAGGUGGGUAUCUUGUACCCCUAAUUCUACUGUCGGACACUUGUCCAUUUUUACCUCUCGUCUCACUUUUUUUUUCUUUCGAGGUUCCGGGCACUUGCUCCUUUUUAUUUCCUCGUAUUCACUUGUUUUUUCAGAGCACUCACCCUUCUGGAAUAAUAAAGCAAGUGGUAGUAACCAAAAUAUCUCCAGCAUUUAUUUCACGGGGAAUAACAGGGAUAGGAUCUUAUUUUUGGCUAUUCUCUCCUAGAUAGGAGUAGAAUAAUUUUGGGUGAAUCUGGAUAUGGAAAUGAGUGGAUGUAUGUGGAUGCGUACUUCCAGAGUAGAAGCAGCAUGUAUGAGUGAACGUGCAAGUGAAUCUUGAUUUAACCACAUGAAAAGCUCCUAGGGGUCUACACAGCUUGACUACACUCAAUGCUCAUAAGCAGUAAAAAGUAAAUGUGUGGCUCAAAGACUAGCAAGCAUGUAUAUAUGGUUGUGGUAGGAAUUUAAACUCUCGUCAUAGAGGAACUCAUCAUGCAACAUUUUAAAGAUUUUCAAAGAUAAAAUUCUCCAGAAUUCUAGCAUCUCUAGGAAUAGAUAAACAACAGCUCAACCUUCCCAUAUCAUAUCCGUUAACGACUUAGACUUUAGAUCAAGUACUCUUCCGACAAGUUCAGGUUUAGAGCAAAUCUUAAUUAAUAACAGUCAGGCCUAAACUUGAGAGAGAUUUCAAUUUUGAGAACUAGUCAUGGC
rnacentral:lncRNA from 1 species